GGAGAUUUGCCGGAGCGGUUUAACGGAACUGUCUUGAAAACAGUCGACGUCCUUCGACGUCCGGGGGUUCGAAUCCCUCAAUCUCCG
rnacentral:tRNA from 1 species